ACCAAACAGCCUUGCUUCCCUCCCAUUCUCAGACUUUUUUUUCGUGUAAACCAAUCUGUUAAACCAGUGGGUUGAGGAAAUUAGGGCUGAGGGAAUUAGGGCUGAGGAUCGAAGAGAUCGAUCUCUGGACCUUCGAACGGCCAGCGUCGGCGUCCACGAGUUGAGUUCUGGCCUGUCCCACUGCUAGCUUCCGCCCGAAAUCAACCCCAGAAAAUUCCGCUGGAACUUCCAACGAGCAGAGAUCUCUGGAGCUUCCAACGGCAAGCGUGGGCGUCCACGAGAUUACUUCCUGUCCCACGGCCAGCGUCCACCCUCAAUCAACCCUCGAGACUCGCCUGGAGGUUCCGACGGCGACUUUGUGAGACUUCCUUCCCUUAGAAGUAGCCAACGAUUGCCCCCUUGUAACCAGUCGAAAAUGGGCAAUUGGGUCUGGCCACCUUGCUUCUGCCGACUUGUAUUAAGUCAGGUGGUAAGCGGCAUUUAGAGCUACGACCCUUCAUGUC